GGUGAGAUGACGUAUGAUACUUCAUCUAGAGUUGAUCCCAAACACUCUCAUCAAUGGUUCAUGGAUGGUACUGAGACAGACUUAUAUCCUAACUAGAACCAGGCGUUUGGGGUUCCAACAACCAAUUUAUUUUCUGGAAUCUUGAAUUCGAAUGUUUCUCCAUGGGGAAAUGUAUCUGGUUUUACUUCAAUCUCGGGGCAGUUUUCUGAACGGUUAUUUGAUACUGAAACAGCUCGAGCAGUGAACUUUGAUGAUCAAAGCUAUUCUUCUGGUAACAUUGAGAAGGUUCUCAUGGGGAGACAGGUUAAUGAGGAUUUAUUUACAAGUGAUUCAUCAUUUG